ARGGGAUCAUUACCGAGUUUACAACUCCCAAACCCAAUGUGAACGUUACCAAACUGUUGCCUCGGCGGGAUCUCUGCCCCGGGUGCGUCGCAGCCCCGGACCAAGGCGCCCGCCGGAGGACCAACCAAAACUCUUUUUGUAUACCCCCUCGCGGGUUUUUUAUAAUCUGAGCCUUCUCGGCGCCUCUCGUAGGCGUUUCGAAAAUGAAUCAAAACUUUCAACAACGGAUCUCUUGGUUCUGGCAUCGAUGAAGAACGCAGCGAAAUGCGAUAAGUAAUGUGAAUUGCAGAAUUCAGUGAAUCAUCGAAUCUUUGAACGCACAUUGCGCCCGCCAGUAUUCUGGCGGGCAUGCCUGUCCGAGCGUCAUUUCAACCCUCGAACCCCUCCGGGGGGUCGGCGUUGGGGAUCGGCCCUGCCUCUUGGCGGCGGCCGUCUCCGAAAUACAGUGGCGGUCUCGCCGCAGCCUCUCCUGCGCAGUAGUUUGCACACUCGCAUCGGGAGCGCGGCGCGUCCACAGCCGUUAAACACCCAACUUCUGAAAUGUUGACCUCGGAUCAGGUAGGAAUACCCGCUGAACUUAAGCAUAUCAAAAGCCSGGAGGAA
rnacentral:rRNA from 1 species